AAGCUACACCCUCCGUUCCAUAUUAGUUGUCGCUGAAAUGGAUGUAUCUAGCACGUGCUAGAUACAUCCGUUUGAGCGACAACUAAUAUGGAACGGAGGGAGUAUAUA
rnacentral:pre_miRNA from 1 species